rnacentral:rRNA from 1 species
CCUACGGGAGGCAGCAGUGGGGAAUAUUGGGCAAUGGGCGCAAGCCUGACCCAGCAACGCCGCGUGAAGGAAGAAGGCUUUCGGGUUGUAAACUUCUUUUCUCAGGGACGAAGCAAGUGACGGUACCUGAGGAAUAAGCCACGGAUAACUACGUGCCAGCAGCCGCGGUAAGACGUAGGUGGCAAGCGUUAUCCGGAUUUACUGGGGGUAAAGGGCGUGUAGGCGGGAAAGCAAGUCAGAUGUGAAAACCAUGGGCUCAACCUGUGGACUGCAUUUGAAACUGUUUUUCUUGAGUACUGGAGAGGCAGACGGAAUUCCUAGUGUAGCGGUGAAAUGCGUAGAUAUUAGGAGGAACACCAGUGGCGAAGGCGGUCUGCUGGACAGCAACUGACGCUGAGGCGCGAAAGCGUGGGGAGCAAACAGGAUUAGAUACCCGUGUAGUC